rnacentral:pre_miRNA from 1 species
CAACUACUCCCUCUGUCCCAAAUUUUUUGUCUUAGAUUUGUCUAGAUACGAAUGUAUCUAAUACUAAAAUGUGACUUGAUACAUCUGUAUCUAGACAAAUCUAAGACAAGAAUUUUGGGAUGGAGGGAGUACUUU